CGCACCUUGCGCUCCUUGGUAUUCCGAGGAGCAUGCCUGUUUGAGUGUCAUGUUUUACUCAGUCCUCUCAGAUUUAUGUCUGAGCUGGCAUUGGAGUUGGAGGCUGCUGGGAUUUUUUUAAAAUUCAGCUCUUCUUAAAUGCAUUAGUGUGAAUACAGUCAUUUACUCUGCGGUGUGAUAAUUGUCUACGCUGUCUGGAUUUAUGGCUUCAUGCUUCAAAUUGUCUAAGGACACUAUUAUUUUGCAUUUGACCUCAAAUCAGGUAGGACUACCCGCUGAACUUAA
rnacentral:misc_RNA from 1 species